rnacentral:rRNA from 1 species
GACGAACGCUGGCGGCGUGCUUAACACAUGCAAGUCGAACGGAAAGGCCCUGCUUGCAGGGUACUCGAGUGGCGAACGGGUGAGUAACACGUGGGGGAUCUGCCCUGCACUUCGGGAUAAGCUUGGGAAACUGGGUCUAAUACCGGAUAGGAACCAUCUUUAGUGUGGUGGUUGGAAAGUUUUUUCGGUGUAGGAUGAGCUCGCGGCCUAUCAGCUUGUUGGUGGGGUAAUGGCCUACCAAGGCGGCGACGGGUAGCCGGCCGGAGAGGGUGUACGGCCACAUUGGGACUGAGAUACGGCCCAGGCUCCUACGGGAGGCAGCAGUGGGGAAGAUUGCACAAUGGGCGCAAGCCUGAUGCAGCGACGCCGCGUGGGGGAUGAAGGCCUUCGGGUUGUAGACUCCUUUCGCUAGGGACGAAGCUUUGUUGUGACGGUACCUAGAUAAGAAGCACCGGCUAACUACGUG